CAACUUGUGACACUCAACCUGGGGGAUCUUUUGGGUUUUUUUUUGGAAGAAAAGUGCCGCCAGGUUUUGAGUGUUACUGAUUG
rnacentral:pre_miRNA from 1 species